rnacentral:rRNA from 1 species
UACGUAGGGCGCAAGCGUUGUCCGGAAUUAUUGGGCGUAAAGAGCUCGUAGGCGGCCUGUUACGUCUGCUGUGAAAUCCCGGGGCUUAACCCCGGGCGUGCAGUGGAUACGGGCAGACUGGAGGCAGGCAGGGGAGAACGGAAUUCCCAGUGUAGCGGUGAAAUGCGCAGAUAUCGGGAGGAACACCGGUGGCGAAGGCGGUUCUCUGGGCCUGUACUGACGCUGAGGAGCGAAAGCGUGGGGAGCGAACAGG